rfam:Candidatus Kaiserbacteria bacterium RIFCSPHIGHO2_01_FTLL_53_31 rifcsphigho2_01_scaffold_26006, whole genome shotgun sequence.
GGGGCUGGAGAAGGUCCCAAGCGUAUGGCUGUUCGCCAUUUAAAAAGGUACGCGAGCUGGGUUCAAACCGUUCAGCAUCUCAAUCCAAGGUUCGACCUUAGAAAAUUGGGAGAUUGAACGGUUUGAACCCACGAGGAAAUGUUAGGUGCGUGGAGACGCACUGCUUGCCCAGCACUAACGGAUGUUAGUGCUGGGUGAAGAAGACAUACUUACGGCGGUCGCGCGUAGGAAUGCGCGCGUAAGCAAAUCAACUGAUAUCGGUGAAAUCCGCUAAUGCGGCGGACAACACCGAGGGAAGUCGGCAGCUCGCUUAAGAAAGCGACUGCACUUGGAUUUUCUAAAGCGGAGUACCGCUAAGAAAAUCUCGGCGCCCGUAGAGACUGAAUGUUGAUCACCCGAACCGAUUUACUCUGAGUAAGUCGAAGGGUGGUGUUACAGUCCGAUCCCCGCAGUAAUGCGGGCAAACCCCGUAAAACACAUGUGAAUGUGCCACGGGGUGAACUAGAUGCGUGAGACAGGUUGGUCUCCUAUCUACUACAGGCGUUGAUUCUUGAGGAGGGUCGUCCCUAGUAAAGAAUUGCUACUUCAGAGAGAGAUCUCUGAUGACAACGUGGCUUAUAACGGUGAAGCCUUCAUAUGUUUUGAUUGAGAAUUUGUUCAUGCGCUGGUCCGCGCAGUUCAGAUUUGUUGAAGAUCAGAACCGCUUUAAGGUAAUACCGUGGGAAGUCGUUAGUGUACUGAAAAAUGGUGCGGUCAGUGGCGUCUAUGUUUUUACCGGGACAACGCAUUCGUUCGGUGGAGCCUGCGGGCUAAGAAGCCGAAUCCAGUGCCGGGAGGAAAUAGACUUUGGAUUCGGGCGAGGCGCCUUGCCCUGAAACCGAGAUGACCAAGCCAGAGUAGGGGUGGGGGCGUUCCGAGAACGCGCCCCACCUCACCAUUUUUCAGUACAUUAAUUGACCCCGUAACGACUUGCGCUGAAAGAUACGCGGACUCAUGUGUUGAGGAAUCAUUCUUAGAGAAUGACAGCUCGCAUGGGUAAGAUGCCACCGUCCUCGUCCCGAGCUGGGAACGGAUGAAGCAUAUAAGCGGGAAGCGUGCUCCAAGAUUAGGAAUCGUUAUGAGACUCCUAGGAGAUGACUAGGUUGAUAGGCUCUAGGUGGAAGUGCCGCGAGGCAUGGAGCCGAGGAGUACUAAUAUGUCCAGUCUCUCGUGCGG